AGAGUUUGAUCCUGGCUCAGAAUCAACGCUGGCGGCGUGCCUCAGACAUGCAAGUCGAACGAUUAAAGCUCUCUUCGGAGAGUGCAUAGAGUGGCGCACGGGUGAGUAACACGUGAGUAAUCUACCCUCGAGUGGGGAAUAACGUCCGGAAACGGGCGCUAAUACCGCAUAACGCAGCAGCACCGUAAGGUGACAGUUGUUAAAGAUUUAUCGCUUGAGGAGGAGCUCGCGGCAGAUUAGCUAGUUGGUGGGGUAAUGGCCUACCAAGGCGACGAUCUGUAACCGGUCUUAGAGGACGGUCGGUCACACUGACACUGAAUAACGGGUCAGACUCCUACGGGAGGCAGCAGUCGGGAAUUUUGGGCAAUGGGGGAAACCCUGACCCAGCAACGCCGCGUGAAGGAUGAAGUAUUUCGGUAUGUAAACUUCGAAAGAAUAGGAAGAAUUAAUGACGGUACUAUUUAUAAGGUCCGGCUAACUACGUGCCAGCAGCCGCGGUA
rnacentral:rRNA from 1 species